GACCUCAAAUCAGGUAGGACUACCCGCUGAACUUAAGCAUAUCAAUAAGCGGAGGAAAAGAAACUAACAAGGAUUCCCCUAGUAACUGCGAGUGAAGCGGGAAAAGCUCAAAUUUAAAAUCUGGCGGUCCCUGUGGCCGUCCGAGUUGUAAUUUAGAGAAGUGUUAUCCGCGCUGGACCGUGUACAAGUCUCCUGGAAUGGAGCGUCAUAGAGGGUGAGAAUCCCGUCUUUGACACGGACUGCCAGGGCAUUGUGAUACGCUCUCAAAGAGUCGAGUUGUUUGGGAAUACAGCUCAAAAUGGGUGGUAAAUUCCAUCUAAAGCUAAAUAUUGGGGAGAGACCGAUAGCGAACAAGUACCGUGAGGGAAAGAUGAAAAGAACUUUGGAAAGAGAGUUAAACAGUACGUGAAAUUGCUGAAAGGGAAACGCUUGAAGUCAG
rnacentral:rRNA from 1 species